rnacentral:rRNA from 1 species
UGGAGGCAGCAGUGGGGAAUGUUGCACAAUGGGCGCAAGCCUGAUGCAGCAACGCCGCGUGCGGGAUGACGGCCUUCGGGUUGUAAACCGCUUUCAGUAGGGACGAAGCUAACGUGACGGUACCUACAGAAGAAGGACCGGCUAACUACGUGCCAGCAGCCGCGGUGAUACGUAGGGUCCGAGCGUUGUCCGGAAUUAUUGGGCGUAAAGGGCUUGUAGGCGGUCCGUCGCGUCAGGAGUGAAAACUCGGGGCUUAACCCCGAGCCUGCUUUUGAUACGGGCGGACUAGAGGGAUGCAGGGGAGAACGGAAUUCCUGGUGGAGCGGUGGAAUGCGCAGAUAUCAGGAGGAACACCGGUGGCGAAGGCGGUUCUCUGGGCAUUACCUGACGCUGAGAAGCGAAAGCGUGGGGAGCAAACAGGCUUAGAUACCCCGGUAGG